CAACUACAGAGAAUGGGGAUUGGCCUGUUUAUUUCAAUUCUAGCUAUGCUAUCUGCAGCUAUCUUAGAACUCGUAAGGCUUCAAGACGUGAGAAGGCACAACUAUUAUGAACUCAAGCAUAUGCCUAUGUCCAUCUUCUGGCAAGUUCCUCAGUAUUUUCUUAUUGGUUGUGCUGAGGUAUUUACCUUCAUUGGGCAGCUGGAAUUCUUUUACGAGCAAGCUCCCGAUGCGAUGAGGAGUCUUGGCUCUGCUCUCUCACUCACUACCGUCGCACUUGGCAACUACCUCAGCUCUCUACUCGUGACAAUUGUCAACAAAGCCAGCACCAAAGGUGGAAGGCUUGGAUGGAUACCAGACAAUUUGAACUAUGGUCAUGUACACUAUUUCUUUUUUCUCUUGGCGAUCCUGAGUAUCAAAAACUUGAUUGCUUUUUU
rnacentral:lncRNA from 1 species